UGAUAGCGUAGAAGCGUGAGGUUGCUACCCACUGUGGUAGGUUUUCCGUGGAGCGAAUGUCAAGUUAGGAAACUGGCGACAA
rnacentral:ncRNA from 1 species